AGCUAUAUGAAAUUAUAUAUAGUCAAACCUGCCCAAUGUAUAUUGUUAUAUGAAUGGCCGCGGUACCCUGACCGUGCUAAGGUAGCGUAAUAAGUUGGCUUUUAAAUGGAGUCAGGUAUGAAUGGGAUAACUGGGUUUAGCUGUCUCAUAAGUGUUAUUUCGAAUUUACUGUUCAAGUGAAAAAGCUUGAUUUAUAUAAGGGGACGAGAAGACCCUUAAAAUUUUUUUUAAUUAUAGUUAAUUACUACUUCAAUUUUGUUGGGGCGACAUAGAAAUAAUAAUAACUUUCUGUAAUUAACUUGCCGGAUAUAUCAAGAAAGAACAAAUUACUUAAGGGAUAACAGCAUAAUUCUAAAAUUGAGUUUGUGACCUCGAUGUUGGACUAGGAAGCUAAUAGGUUAGAUGCCUAUUUUGGGGAUUCUGUUCGAAUUUUAACUCCU
rnacentral:rRNA from 1 species